GAAAUGCGAUAAGUAAUGUGAAUUGCAGAAUUCAGUGAAUCAUCGAAUCUUUGAACGCACCUUGCGCUCCUUGGUAUUCCUUGGAGCAUGCCUGUUUGAGUAUAAUGAAAUCUUCAAAGUAAAUCUUUUGUUAACUCAAUUGGUUUCUACUUUGGUAUUGGAGGUCUUUGCAGCUUCACACCUGCUCCUCUUUGUUCAUUAGCUGGAUCUCAGUGUUAUGCUUGGUUCCACUCGGCGUGAUAAGUUAUCUAUCGCUGAGGACACUGUAAAAGGUGGCCAAGAUAAAUGCAGAUGAACCGCUUCUAAUAGUCCAUUGACUUGGACAAUACUUUUAUGAUCUGAUCUCAAAUCAGGUAGGACUACCCGCUGAACUUAAGC
rnacentral:misc_RNA from 1 species